rnacentral:lncRNA from 1 species
GGGGUAAAUAUGGGGUUGGGCCCAAUAAUUGUUAGGUGAGGGUCCCCAUGAUGGCUUUGCAUCUGCUGGUGAACAAUGGGUUUGACUUAACUAAGAAAUAUGCCAAUAACUGUUAGGUGAGGCCAUAGGACUUAGAGACCUAGCCCGCUGCAUCUUGCUUAGUGAAUCAAUGGAUAAAGUGUUAUCUACUCAUUGAUCUGUACUCAUCAAUAACUGUUAGGUGAGGUGUG